rnacentral:rRNA from 1 species
AAUCAACGCUGGCGGCGUGCCUAACACAUGCAAGUCGAACGCGAAAGCCCCGCAAGGGGUAAGUAGAGUGGCGCACGGGUGAGUAACACGUGGAGUAACCUGCCUUUGAGUGGGGAAUAACCUUCCGAAAGGAGGGCUAAUACCGCAUAACACCUUUAGGCAAAAGUCGAAGGGUUAAAAGGANCGAUUCGCUUAAAGAGGGGUCCGCGCCUGAUUAGCUAGUUGGUGAGGUAACGGCUCACCAAGGCUCGAUCAGUAGCCGUCCU